UGAUCAUGGCUCAGAUUGAACGCUGGCGGCAGGCUUAACACAUGCAAGUCGAGCGGAGAGAGGUAGCUUGCUACUGAUCUUAGCGGCGGACGGGUGAGUAAUACUUAGGAAUCUGGCUAUUAGUGGGGGACAACAUUUCGAAAGGGAUGCUAAUACCGCAUACGUCCUACGGGAGAAAGCAGGGGAUCUUCGGACCUUGCGCUAAUAGAUGAGCCUAAGUCGGAUUAGCUAGUUGGUGGGGUAAAGGCCUACCAAGGCGACGAUCUGUAGCGGGUCUGAGAGGAUGAUCAGCCACACUGGGACUGAGACACGGCCCAGACUCCUACGGGAGGCAGCAGUGGGGAAUAUUGGACAAUGGGGGGAACCCUGAUCCAGCCAUGCCGCGUGUGUGAAGAAGGCCUUAUGGUUGUAAAGCACUUUAAGCGAGGAGGAGGGUACUGGUAUUAAUACUACCAGGUACUGGACGUUACUCGCAGAAUAAGCACCGGCUAACUCUGUGCCAGCAGCCGCGGUAAUACAGAGGGUGCGAGCGUUAAUCGGAUUUACUGGGCGUAAAGCGUGCGUAGGCGGCUAAUUGAGUCGGAUGUGAAAUCC
rnacentral:rRNA from 1 species